GGAUCCGAUCAUACCAGCACUAAAGCACCGGAUCCCAUCAGAACUCCGAAGUUAAGCGUGCUUGGGCGAGAGUAGUACUAGGAUUGGUGACCUCCUGGGAAGUCCUCGUGUUGCAUUCC
rnacentral:rRNA from 1 species